GCGAGAGUGGCGGAACUGGUAGACGCGCUGGACUUAGGCUCCAGUGGGCGCAGGCCCUUGGGGGUUCGACUCCCCCCUCUCGCACCA
rnacentral:tRNA from 1 species